CCCGUGUAGUCCUGCACGAACCAGCGGAAGCUCAGGCUCUGCACCAGCAGCGACGGCACCAGCACGAAGAACAGGGUCAGCCCGAAGCAGCCGUAGUCCCCCUUGCGGUAGUAGUCGAGGGCCAGCCACAGGCUUUAACUUACUUGCAAAUUCUUCAAGUGUUCGCCAUCAGAUACUCUCAGAAGUGGGCAGUGGGGCACACGGAGCCACAACAAGGAGCCACAUGUUGACCAGGAGCUUGCAAGAACAAGAAUCCAGAAAUACCGUUCUGAUCUUGGGUCCUUUCUCAGCAGACGUUUUGCUUCAGAGGCAACUGGGAGCCCCAGAAGAAAAACACCGCAGGCAACAGCCAGCCUCCCACCCCCACGGUUUCUCCAGCCCUGCCUAACGAGUCACAGUAAUGUUUGCGAUUAGCGAGGCAGCCUCUUGGCGGAGAGCGCAGAGCGCGCGCACGGUGUGUUCCCUCAUUAAUGCAAGCCGACUCCUGUGGAGGAGAGUCACGAACCAGCCUACAGAACAUCACCAAAAUGAACACUCCCAUGAAGCGUGCUAGUGAGAAGCAGCAGACUGUAAGGACAAGAAGAAUAUAGAGGCUGCAAGGCGAGGCUUCCUGGUGUCCAGUCUGAGUCACCCUGCGAUGAGCUGUCUGUGAGCCGGUCAAGUGCCUUAAUCUCUGUUUGCCUUGCAUGUUUCUCCUGUGAAAUGGGAGUGAUGAUAAGAGUGCCCCAAACAGGUGCAAACAAGAUCUCUCAAUGAACCCCAAGCUCAUCAUUUUGGCUAGAUUAACCAUCUACCAACCCCCAGGAUUUUUCCGCUCUUUCUACCCAAGAGAACAUGAUGGAAACAGAGAGGAAGCACAUGGACACCCCACAGUUGGGUCAGUGGGACUGCCCAUUGUAUCUUUCUCCCCAUACCUCACCCCAGCCAGUUUCUGGAUAACUUUUAAAAGCCCUGAGAUGAGAUGUUUAUGGAAUCGCAUCAUUGGAAACCUGUUUCUGCAAUAUAAGACGCUGGCUUCCUUCUCUUACUCUCCCAUCUGUGAACCUUCAAGAAAACUUUCUAAGCACACCCUCCUGUUGCUCAUGAGU